rnacentral:rRNA from 1 species
AGGACGAACGCUGGCGGCGUGCUUAACACAUGCAAGUCGAGCGGAAAGGCUCCUUCGGGGGUACUCGAGCGGCGAACGGGUGAGUAACACGUGAGUAAUCUGCCCUCCACUCUGGGAUAACGUUCAGAAAUGGGUGCUAAUACCGGAUGUACACUUGUCCCUGCAUGGGGGUGGGUGGAAAGGUUUUUUCUGGUGGGGAUGUGCUCGCGGCCUAUCAGCUUGUUGGUGGGGUAAUGGCCUACCAAGGCUUUGACGGGUAGCCGGCCUGAGAGGGUGACCGGCCACACUGGGACUGAGACACGGCCCAGACUCCUACGGGAGGCAGCAGUGGGAAUAUGGACAAUGGGCGAAGCCUGAUCCAGCAACGCCGCGUGAGGGAUGACGGCCUUCGGUUGUAAACCUCUUUCACCAUUGACGAAGUCGCAUCUUUUUUGGUGUGGUGACGGUAGGUGGGAAGAAGCACCGGCAACGUACGUGCCAGCAGCCGC